UACAGAGGUCUCAAGCGUUGUUCGGAUUCAUUGGGCGUAAAGGGUGCGUAGGCGGCGCGGUAAGUCGGGUGUGAAAUCUCGGGGCUUAACUCCGAAACUGCAUUCGAUACUGCGGUGCUUGAGGACUGGAGAGGAGACUGGAAUUCAUGGUGUAGCAGUGAAAUGCGUAGAGAUCAUGAGGAAGACCAGUGGCGAAGGCGGGUCUCUGGACAGUUCCUGACGCUGAGGCACGAAGGCCAGGGGAGCAAACGGG
rnacentral:rRNA from 1 species